rnacentral:rRNA from 1 species
GAUGAACGCUGGCGGCGUGCCUAACACAUGCAAGUCGAACGAAAAGACGAGGAUCUUGUGGGUUUCUCGAGUGCGGAACGGGUGAGUGACACAUGUGUAUCAUGCCCUUGUCUGAGGGGGAAAAUCAGGGAACAGCGGCUAAUACAGCAUAGGAGCUACUGAUGCGCGUUGGGGGUUGGAAAGUGUCGGCGGUUGGGGCUGGACUGGCGGGUUCUCGGCUUGUUGGUGGGGUAGUGGCUUACCAAGGCUUCGACGGAUAGCCGGCCUGAGAGGGUGACCGGCCACAUUGGGACUGAGGGACGGCGCAGACGCCUACGGGAGGCAGCAGGGGGGAAUAUUGCGCAACGGGCGGAAGCCUGAUGCAGCAACGCCGCGUGCGGGAUGACGGCCUUCGGGUGAUAAACCGCUUUCGCCUGAGACGAAGCGUGAGUGACGGUAAUGGGUAAAGAAGCACCGGCUAACUACGUG